rnacentral:rRNA from 1 species
AUACGAACCGUCCAAACGUUAUUCGGAAUUACUGGGCUUAAAGGGUGCGUAGGCGGCCCGGGAAGUUGGGUGUGAAAGCCCUCGGCUCAACCGAGGAACUGCGCCCAAAACUGCCGGGCUCGAGGGAGAUAGAGGUGAGCGGAACUUAGGGUGGAGCGGUGAAAUGCGUUGAUAUCCUAAGGAACACCGGUGGCGAAAGCGGCUCACUGGGUCUCUUCUGACGCUGAGGCACGAAAGCUAGGGUAGCGAACGGGAUUAGAUACCCCGGUAGUCCUAGCCCUAUACGAUGAGCACUAGAUCGAAGGACACUCCAUAGUCUUUUGGUCGAAGCGAAAGUGUUAAGUGCUCCGCCUGGGGAGUAUGGUCGCAAGGCUGAA